rnacentral:tmRNA from 2 species
CGGGGAACGGGCACUUGAAAGUCGGGGGCUUCGGCCCCAUACUCUGCGUAUGGUUGUAAUUCCGGCAAUCUGGAGGCGUUCUGGACGCGGGUUCGAUUCCCGCCACCUCCACCUAAGAGUUCGAAGAGUUUUCGAUAAGUCCGGGAAUUCUUAGGUGGGGGUGUACUGGUUUCGACAGGGCGGGCGAAGGUGAGCAGGCAACUCGUCAGGCGAUCGACGUUAAUGAAGCAAAUCUCUAAACGCCAACGAUGAGCGUUUCGCAAUCGCCGCUUAAGGCCUUUGCCGAGGCUGCUUGAGCCUUGUCACCAAAGAAAAGCCGGCGGGGACUUCGGUCCCCGUCGUCA